rnacentral:rRNA from 1 species
UACGUAGGGUGCAAGCGUUAAUCGGAAUUACUGGGCGUAAAGCGUGCGCAGGCGGUUCUGUAAGUUUGUCGUGAAAGCCCCGGGCUCAACCUGGGAAUGGCGAUGAAGACUGCAAGGCUUGAAUCUGGCAGAGGGGGGUAGAAUUCCACGUGUAGCAGUGAAAUGCGUAGAGAUGUGGAGGAACACCGAUGGCGAAGGCAGCCCCCUGGGUCAAGAUUGACGCUCAUGCACGAAAGCGUGGGGAGCAAACAGG